GAAUGAGUCAGUGGCUACAUAGCGAGAGUGUCCUAGGCAGAGGAAACAGCUUCUACAAAAGCCCUGAAGCAAGAGAAUGUUUGAAGUGUUCAAGAAUAAACAGGAGAUGCAGAAUGAAUGGAAUUGAGAGUGAGUGAGGCAGUCGGAUACAAGAGAGACUAAUAUGGGGCAGCACUGAAGACUGCUGACAGCAGCCACAUGAGUGAGCUCAGAGUGGACACAACAGCCCCUUCAGAGGCUGCAGGGAUGGCAGACAGCCUGACUGCAAUGUCGUGAAAGAUGCUGAGGCAGAACCAUGCAGCAAAGUCAUUCCCAGAUUCCUGACUCUCAGAAAAUGUUGUUACUUUAGAGAAGUCUGAACUUG
rnacentral:lncRNA from 10 species